CAAAGUGUAGCUUAAAUCUAAAGCAUCCGGCCUACACCCGAAAGACUUCACGACUGACGUGACCACUUUGA
rnacentral:tRNA from 1 species